AUGUCAUUAUGAGGGCAGUUUCGCAAUAACUCCUUGAACCGCUCUCAUGCCUCAUAUAGAGAUUCUUCAUGAAAUUGUUGAAAUGAAGUGAUUUCAUUUCGAAGCU
rfam:Gossypium raimondii Chr12_contig_448, whole genome shotgun sequence.